rnacentral:rRNA from 1 species
UACGUAGGGUGCAAGCGUUAAUCGGAAUUAUUGGGCGUAAAGGGUGCGCAGGCGGCUGUAUAAGUCAGAUGUGAAAUCCCCGGGCUUAACCUGGGAAUUGCGUUUGAAACUAUAUGACUAGAGUGUGAUAGAGGGGAGUGGAAUUCCAUGUGUAGCAGUGAAAUGCGUAGAGAUGUGGAAGAACACCGAUGGCGAAGGCAGCUCCCUGGAUUAACACUGACGCUCAUGCACGAAAGCGUGGGGAGCAAACAGG